rnacentral:rRNA from 1 species
AUUGAACGCUGGCGGCGUGCUUAACACAUGCAAGUCGAGCGGUAACGCGGGGGCAACCCUGGCGACGAGCGGCGAACGGGUGCGUAAUACAUGGGAAUCUGCCUGAUAGUGGGGAAUAACCCGGGGAAACUCGGGCUAAUGCCGCAUACGACCUACGGGUGAAAGCGGGGGACCGAAAGGCCUCGCGCUAUCGGAUGGGCCCAUGUCGGAUUAGCUAGUUGGUGGGGUAACGGCCCACCAAGGCGACGAUCCGUAGCUGGUCUGAGAGGACGGCCAGCCACACUGGGACUGAGACACGGCCCAGACUCCUACGGGAGGCAGCAGUGGGGAAUAUUGGACAAUGGGGGAAACCCUGAUCCAGCGACGCCGCGUGUGUGAAGAAGGCCUGCGGGUUGUAAAGCACUUUCGGUGGGAACGAAAUAUGCCGGGCCAAUACCCCGGCAGGCUGACCGUUACCCCAAUGAACGAAGCACCGGCUAACUCUGUGCCAGCACGCCGGACGGUAAACUAGUCUACG